GAUCUUGGCUCAGGACGAACGCUGGCGGCGUGCCUAACACAUGCAAGUCGAGCGGAGACAGUGAGUAGCUUGCUAUGAGCUGUUUUAGCGGCGGACGGGUGAGUAACGCGUGAGCAACCUUUCCCAGACAGGGGAAUAACACACCGAAAGGUGUACUAAUACCGCAUAAGACCACGGAAUCACAUGGUUCUGGGUAAAGAAUUAUCGGUUUGGGGUGGGCUCGCGUCCGAUUAGGUAGUUGGUGAGGUAACGG
rnacentral:rRNA from 1 species